rnacentral:rRNA from 1 species
AUUGAACGCUGGCGGCGUGCCUAACACAUGCAAGUCGAGCGGUAACAGGUGUAGCAAUACAUGCUGACGAGCGGCGAACGGGUGAGUAAUGCUUCGGAAUCUACCUUAUGGUGGGGAAUAACUAGCCGAAAGGUUAGCUAAUACCGCAUACGUCCUACGGGAGAAAGCAGGGGAUCGCAAGACCUUGCGCCAAAAGAUGAGCCAAAGUCGGAUUAGCUAGUUGGUAGGGUAACGGCCUACCAAGGCGACGGUCCGUAGCUGGUCUGAGAGGACGACCAGCCACACUGGGACUGAGACACGGCCCAGACUCCUACGGGAGGCAGCAGUGGGGAAUAUUGGACAAUGGGGGAAACCCUGAUCCAGCGACGCCGCGUGUGUGAAGAAGGCCUGCGGGUUGUAAAGCACUUUUAGUGGGGAUGAAAUGUGCAGGGUUAAUACCUCUGCAUUUUGACCUAACCCACAGAAAAAGCACCGGCUAACUCUGUGCCAGCCGCCGCGGUAA